GUCCUUUUGAAUUUAAUUUAAGGUCUGGCCUGCCCAGUGAUUAAUUUAACGGCCGCGGUAUAUUGACCGUGCAAAGGUAGCAUAAUCAUUAGUCUUUUAAUAGAGGGCUGGAAUGAAAGGUUUAACGAGGAACUGACUGUCUCAUUUUAUUUGUAUUAAAAUUUAAUUUUUUAGUUAAAAAGCUAAAAUUUAAUUGGAAGACGAGAAGACCCUAUAGAUCUUUAUAUGGCUUAUUAAAUUUGUAACAUAUUAAUACAUUUUAUGAAAGCUGUAUUUUGUUGGGGUGACAAAAAUAUAAAACUAACUUUUUUAUUAAUUAACCAUUAAUUUAUGAAAAUUAGAUCCACUUUUAGUGAUUAUUAGACUAAGUUACCUUAGGGAUAACAGCGUAAUCCCCUUCCAGAGUUCAUAUUUACAAGGGGGCUUGCGACCUCGAUGUUGGAUUAAGAUAAUAAUUAGGUGCAGCCGCUUAAUAUAUAGGUCUGUUCGACCUUUAAAUUCUU
rnacentral:rRNA from 1 species